CAAUAGCGUAUAUUUAAGUUGCUGCAGUUAAAAAGCUCGUAGUUGGAUUUCGGGUGGGAAUGGCCGGUCCGCCGUUUCGGUGUGCACUUGCUACGCCCACCUUGCUGCCGGGGACGUGCUCUUGAGUUCACGCUCGGGACACGGAGUCGGCGAGGUUACUUUGAGUAAAUUAGAGUGUUCAAAGCAGGCCUACGCUCUGAAUACAUUAGCAUGGAAUAACACGAUAGGACUCUGGCCUAUCUUGUUGGUCUGUAGGACCGGAGUAAUGAUUAAUAGGGACAGUCGGGGGCAUUCGUAUUUCAUUGUCAGAGGUGAAAUUCUUGGAUUUAUGAAAGACGAACUACUGCGAAAGCAUUUGCCAAGGAUGUUUUCAUUAA
rnacentral:rRNA from 1 species